GAUACCAACAGGCGUGAACAAAGUUGUGCGGCCAACUAUGAACAGUACUGUCAACAUGUUGUUACAGCAUUGUUCAACUGUAACAACUUAGAACAACAUGGUUGACAACUUGUUCAUAGUUGGCCGCACAACAUUGUUCACGCCUGUCGAUAUC
rnacentral:miRNA from 1 species